rnacentral:rRNA from 1 species
AUUGAACGCUGGCGGCAUGCCUUACACAUGCAAGUCGAACGGUAACGCGGGGCAACCUGGCGACGAGUGGCGAACGGGUGAGUAAUGUAUCGGAACGUGCCCAGUUGUGGGGGAUAACUGCUCGAAAGAGCAGCUAAUACCGCAUACGACCUGAGGGUGAAAGCGGGGGAUCGCAAGACCUCGCGCAGUUGGAGCGGCCGAUAUCAGAUUAGGUAGUUGGUGGGGUAAAGGCUCACCAAGCCAACGAUCUGUAGCUGGUCUGAGAGGACGACCAGCCACACUGGGACUGAGACACGGCCCAGACUCCUACGGGAGGCAGCAGUGGGGAAUUUUGGACAAUGGGCGCAAGCCUGAUCCAGCCAUGCCGCGUGCGGGAAGAAGGCCUUCGGGUUGUAAACCGCUUUUGUCAGGGAAGAAAAGACUCCUGUUAAUACCGGGGGUUCAUGACGGUACCUGAAGAAUAAGCACCGGCUAACUACGUGCCAGCCGCCGCCGUAA